rnacentral:lncRNA from 1 species
UUGUGUGCUUGGAGUCUGACGUAAGUUCAGCGAUUGGCAGUCGGUUUCCUGUGGGUUGUGUGUGUGGAGUCUGAUGUAAGCCCAGCGAUUGGCAUUCGGUUUCCUCGUUUGUGUUUGUUGUUCGGAGUUGGAUGUAACACCAGCGAUUGGCAUUCCGAUUCCAGUUGUGUGUUUGCUCUGAUGUCUCAGCGUCUUUGUGUUGUGUUUUGUUUCGGCGUGCGU